UGGAAACUGAACAACCAAAAAAUAAGAUCUGAGGAAACUUUAGGAAUAUACAGUAACAGCCCAUGUUGUUUCAAACCAUGUUCCAGACCCCCCUGCCUGCUCUCCUUCUCCUCUGUCACUUCUAGUCAGCCAGCUGUCUGUCCUAUUGCUCCCCCCCCCGUAGUAGCCUUGACCUGUAGCCUCUUUCUGCAGACGUUACAUGUAGCUCUGCCAGUCAACUCGUCCUCCCUGGGGAGCCUUCCUCCCUCUGGAGCCUUCCUCCCUCUGGAUCCUUCCUCCCUCUGGAGCCUUCCUCCCUCUGGAGCCUUCCUCCCUCUGGAGCCUUCCUCCCUCUGGAGCCUUCGUCCCUCCCUCUGGAGUCUUCCUCCCUCUGGAGCCUUCCUCCCUCCCUCUGGAGCCUUCCUCCCUCCGUCCUUCCUCCCUCUGGAGCCUUCCUCCCUCUGGAGCCUUCCUCCCUCUGGAGCCUUCCUCCCUCUGGAGCCUUCCUCCCUCUGGAGCCUUCCUCCCUCUGGCGCCUUCCUCCCUCUGGAGCCUUCCUCCCUCUGGAGCCUUCCUCCCUCCGUCCUUCCUCCCUCUGGAGCCUUCCUCCCUCUGGAGCCUUCCUCCCUCUGGAGCCUUCCUCCCUCUGGAGCCUUCCUCCCUCUGGAGCCUUCCUCCCUGGGGAGCCUUCCUCCCUCUGGAGCCUUCCUCCCUCUGGAGCCUUCCUCCCUCUGGAGCCUUCCUCCCUCCGUCCUUCCUCCCUGGGGAGCCUUCCUCCCUCUGGAGCCUUCCUCCCUCUGGAGCCUUCCUCCCUGGGGAGCCUUCCUCCCUCUGGAGCCUUCCUCCCUGGGGAGCCUUCCUCCCUCUGGAGCCUUCGUCCCUCUGGAGCCUUCCUCCCUGGGGAGCCUUCCUCCCUCUGGAGCCUUCCUCCCUCUGGAGCCUUCCUCCCUGGGGAGCCUUCCUCCCUCUGGAGCCUUCCUCCCUCUGGAGCCUUCCUCCCUCUGGAGCCUUCCUCCCUCCGUCCUUCCUCCCUCUGGAGCCUUCCUCCCUCCGUCCUUCCUCCCUGGGGAGCCUUCCUCCCUCCGUCCUUCCUCCCUGGGGAGCCUUCCUCCCUGGGGAGCCUUCCUCCCUGGGGAGCCUUCCUCCCUCCGUCCUUCCUCCCUGGGGAGCCUUCCUCCCUCCGUCCUUCCUCCCUGGGGAGCCUUCCUCCCUGGGGAGCCUUCCUCCCUGGGGAGCCUUCCUCCCUGGGGAGCCUUCCUCCCUGGGGAGCCUACCUCCCUGGGGAGCCUUCCUCCCUGGGGAGCCUUCCUCCCUGGGGAGCCUUCCUCCCUCUGGAGCCUUCCUCCCUGGGGAGCCUUCCUCCCUCUGGAGCCUUCCUCCCUGGGGAGCCUUCCUCCCUCUGGAGCCUUCCUCCCUGGGGAGCCUUCCUCCCUGGGGAGCCUUCCUCCCUCUGGAGCCUUCCUCCCUGGGGAGCCUUCCUCCCUGGGGAGCCUUCCUCCCUGGGGAGCCUUCCUCCCUGGGGAGCCUUCCUCCCUGGGGAGCCUACCUCCCUGGGGAGCCUUCCUCCCUGGGGAGCCUUCCUCCCUGGGGAGCCUUCCUCCCUCUGGAGCCUUCCUCCCUGGGGAGCCUUCCUCCCUCUGGAGCCUUCCUCCCUGGGGAGCCUUCCUCCCUCUGGAGCCUUCCUCCCUGGGGAGCCUUCCUCCCUGGGGAGCCUUCCUCCCUGGGGAGCCUUCCUCCCUCUGGAGCCUUCCUCCCUGGGGAGCCUUCCUCCCUCUGGAGCCUUCCUCCCUGGGGAGCCUUCCUCCCUGGGGAGCCUUCCUCCCUGGGGAGCCUACCUUUUAG
ensembl:lncRNA